AGUUAAUGAACUUGUAUAAGUUUAUAUUUUGAAAAUAUAAAAAAGAAAUAUUAAUUUUCUAUUAACUU
rnacentral:tRNA from 1 species